rnacentral:rRNA from 1 species
AGUGAACGCUGGCGGUAGGCCUAACACAUGCAAGUCGAACGGCAGCACAGUAAGAGCUUGCUCUUACGGGUGGCGAGUGGCGGACGGGUGAGGAAUACAUCGGAAUCUACUUUUUCGUGGGGGAUAACGUAGGGAAACUUACGCUACUACCGCAUACGUCCUACGGGUGAAAGCAGGGGAUCUUCGGACCUUGCGCGAUUGAAUGAGCCGAUGUCGGAUUAGCUAGUUGGCGGGGUAAAGGCCCACCAAGGCGACGAUCCGUAGCUGGUCUGAGAGGAUGAUCAGCCACACUGGAACUGAGACACGGUCCAGACUCCUACGGGAGGCAGCAGUGGGGAAUAUUGGACAAUGGGCGCAAGCCUGAUCCAGCCAUACCGCGUGGGUGAAGAAGGCCUUCGGGUUGUAAAGCCCUUUUGUUGGGAAAGAAAAGCAGCAGGUUAAUACCCCGCUGUUCUGACGGUACCCAAAGAAUAAGCACCGGCUAACUUCGUG